CUGUAUUCACAGCUUACGUAUGUGCAACGAACAUUUUGGCGGUCUGGGUUCGCAGCGGAUAAAGAAGACGAUAUAAUAAAGUAAUUAAAAUAGUGGACUGACGCCUCGCUUGUUGCAUACGCGGGAAAAAAUGGACUGAUCCAACAUUGCCGCUGAGCAGCAACAGCAUUAAUUUUCGUUUUUGGAACCAGCAAAUGGGCCCCAGGUAAUACAAGAUUUGAUAAUUUGCUUUGCUGAAAGCGUCAUAACAUUGAGGCUCCGAUUGCGAGAAAAGCUCUCAAGGGAGAUUUAGGUAGCUUCUCAUAAUUGGCACACAUUGACCUUUAACUUGGUUUACAAGUUUGAGAAGCUAUGCACCAUAAUGCAUUGAACACUAUUUUUUUUGUCCGUACAUUGCGUGAAUAAAAGAGAAAUUUCGCGCGUUCCAUCACAAUAUGUUUAUUAUUAUAAAAAUUAAUGCGUGUAACAAAAAUUUGAAAUAUU